rnacentral:rRNA from 1 species
CACGAAGUCGGAAUCGCUAGUAAUCGCGGAUCAGCAUGCCGCGGUGAAUACGUUCCCGGGCCUUGUACACACCGCCGUCACACCAUGGGAGUUUGUAACGCCCAAAGUCGGUGGCCUUAACCUUUAUGGAGGGAGCCGCCUAAGGCGGGACAGAUGACUGGGGUGAAGUCGUAACAAGGUAAC